GCCAAUGUGGUGUAGUGGUUUGAGCAUUGGACUGUGACUCUGGAGACCACGGUUCAAAUCCCAGUUCAGCCA